GAUGAACGCUGGCGGCGUGCUUAAUACAUGAAAGUCGAACGGAGUAUGUAGCGAUAUAUACUUAGUGGCGAACGGGUGAGUAACGCGUUGGUGACCUGCUCCGAAGCGUGGGAUAACAGAUCGAAAGGUCUGCUAAUACCGCAUGAGGUCGUUGAGGCUAGAGGCUUAGCGACGAAAGGAGUAAUCCGCUUUGGGAGGGGCCUGCGUCCCAUCAGCUAGUUGGUAAGGUAAAGGCUUACCAAGGCGAAGACGGGUAGGGGGCCUGAGAGGGUGACCCCCCACACUGGCACUGAAACACGGGCCAGACACCUACGGGUGGCAGCAGUAGGGAAUAUUGCACAAUGGGCGAAAGCCUGAUGCAGCAACGCCGCGUGCGCGAAGAAGGUCUUCGGAUCGUAAAGCGCUUUUUGGGGAGAUGAGGAAGGACAGUAUCCCCAGAAUAAGGCUCGGCUAACUACGUGCCAGCCGCCGCGGUAACAC
rnacentral:rRNA from 1 species